GACGAACGCUGGCGGCGUGCUUAACACAUGCAAGUCGAACGGAAAGGCCCUGCUUUUGUGGGGUGCUCGAGUGGCCAACGGGUGAGUAACACGUGAGUAACCUGCCCUUGACCUUGGGAUAACUUCAGGAAACUGGGGCUAAUACCGGAUAGGAGCUCCUGCUGCAUGGUGGGGGUUGGAAAGUUUCGGCGGUUGGGGAUGGACUCGCGGCUUAUCAGCUUGUUGGUGGGGUAGUGGCUUACCAAGGCUUUGACGGGUAGCCGGCCUGAGAGGGUGACCGGCCACAUUGGGACUGAGAUACGGCCCAGACUCCUACGGGAGGCAGCAGUGGGGAAUAUUGCACAAUGGGCGGAAGCCUGAUGCAGCAACGCCGCGUGCGGGAUGACGGCCUUCGGGUUGUAAACCGCUUUCGCCUGUGACGAAGCGUGAGUGACGGUAAUGGGUAAAGAAGCACCGGCUAACUACGUG
rnacentral:rRNA from 1 species